rnacentral:rRNA from 1 species
UACGUAGGGCGCAAGCGUUGUCCGGAAUUAUUGGGCGUAAAGAGCGCGCAGGCGGUUUGGCAAGUCAGAUGUGAAAGAGGCCGGCUUAACCGGCAAGGGUCAUUUGAAACUGCCAGACUAGAGUGCAGCAGAGGAUAGCGGAAUUCCCGGUGUAGUGGUGAAAUGCGUAGAUAUCGGGAGGAACACCAGUGGCGAAGGCGGCUAUCUGGGCUGCAACUGACGCUGAGGCGCGAAGGCUAGGGUAGCAAACAGG